rnacentral:rRNA from 1 species
UACGAAGGUCCCAAGCGUUAUCCGGAUUUAUUGGGUUUAAAGGGUGCGUAGGCGGAUUAUUAAGUCAGUGGUGAAAGCUCUCAGCCUAACUGAGAAAUUGCCAUUGAUACUGAUGAUCUUGAGUACAUUUGAAGUGGGCGGAAUGUGUCAUGUAGUGGUGAAAUACUUAGAUAUGACACAGAACACCGAUUGCGUAGGCAGCUCGCUAAACUGUAACUGACGCUGAGGCACGAAAGCGUGGGGAGCAAACAGG